GAUUUUGUUCUCAUGUCCAGUCCUAUCAUCUAGGGGUGAAAAGAUAACAAGCUAUAAGCGGUGUGGAAGGAGAAGAUAAAUACAUGAGAGCAUGCUUUUUUUUAAACAAAAAUUUGAAGUUAAGAAAACUUGCAUAAAUAUCGAGGGUCCAGUUUCUAUCCAGCUAGAAUUUUCUAGUGCUAGUUAGAAAUAUACCCGAACAAGUGGCAACCACGUCGAAGAUAAAACAGAAC
rnacentral:sRNA from 1 species